rfam:Trichomonas vaginalis G3, whole genome shotgun sequence.
GUCUCUAAGCAAUGGAUGUCUUGGCUCCUCACACGAUGAAGAACGUGGCAUAAUGUGUUAAGUAACCGGAGUGCAA